AGGGUUCCUGUCCAACGUUAAUCGGGGCAGGGUGAGUCGACCCCUAAGGCGAGGCCGAAAGGCGUAGUCGAUGGGAAACGGGUUAAUAUUCCCGUACUUGGUGUUACUGCGAAGGGGGGACGGAGAAGGCUAUGUUGGCCGGGCGACGGUUGUCCCGGUUUAAGCGUGUAGGUGUGUGUUCCAGGUAAAUCCGGUUCACUUUAACACUGAGGCGUGACGACGAGGCACUACGGUGCUGAAGCAACAAAUGCCCUGCUUCCAGGAAAAGCCUCUAAGCAUCAGGUAACAUCAAAUCGUACCCCAAACCGACACAGGUGGUCAGGUAGAGAAUACCAAGGCGCUUGAGAGAACUCGGGUGAAGGAACUAGGCAAAAUGGUGCCGUAACUUCGGGAGAAGGCACGCUGACAC
rnacentral:rRNA from 1 species